GAAGCACGCCAGACCGCCGCUGGUGCAAUCUCCGAAAGGAGGCACUGGAGGAACGUCCGGACUGCACAGGACAGCGUAGCAGCUAACGGCUGCCCACCGUGAGGUGAGGAUCAGAGCAACAGAGACGAGCCGAUUCAGUUCGGGUGAAACGGGCAAUCUCUACGCGCAGCAAUACCAAGUAGGCCAGCGUUGAUGUGGUUCCGCAGAGUUGGCGGGUAGGUAGCAUUGAGCCGUGGUGGCGACACCCGGCCCAGAUUAAUGGCGGUCACUCCGUGGGAAACCACGGUGCACAGAAUCCGGCUUAUCGGCGGGCUUCACAC
rnacentral:RNase_P_RNA from 1 species